rnacentral:lncRNA from 1 species
UCAAAAAAGGUUUUGAGUUUGAGAUUGGUAAACGCGGCAAAAUUAUACAAAACCCUAGUUAAACCUGUUGAAUUUGAAAUGUCAAUUAUUUCAAUGGCAGAACUGCCAAUUCUUCAAUUUGAAGACAAAAUCGUCGAAACCGUGGAUAAGAAUCCGGUAGUAGUUGUAAUCGGUGAAACUGGCUCGGGAAAGAGUACCCAGCUCUCUCAAAUUCUUCAUCGGCGAGGUUACACCAAAUCGGGUUGCAUCGCUGUAACUCAGCCGCGUCGAGUUGCCGCUGUUACAGUAUCAAGGUGAAUUCCUCAAUUAAGUUAUAUGAUGUUGUGAUAAUUUGACGUUUCUGUUCAUAGAAGAAAAUGUAUUCCCUUGCUUAGUCAGUUACGUUUUACUCCUUAGCAGCUCUUUGGUUAUUGUUGGAACUACAUUUGAGAAAUUAGCUAAUAAUAGCUGAGUCACUCUUACCAGAAUCCUAGCUGGUUUGCUUCAUUUUGUUUCAAAUUAUGUGUAUUUGUUUGAUACGUGAUCAUGCAUUGAACGUUUUUUGUCCACUAGGCGUGUCUCAGAAGAAUUGAAUGUGAGGCUGGGCGACGAGGUAGGUUACGCGAUUCGCUUUGAAGAUAGAACUUCGGAGAAGACGAUUAUUAAGUAAACUAUCUUUUAUAAAAUACAUUGAAAACUAUGUCUGUGGAAAGAACAAAGCAUUCUUAUUCAUUUUUUCUGUACAUGUGCGUGCAGAUACCUAACCGAUGGAGUUCUCUUGCGCGAAAGUCUUUCCAACCCGGAGCUGAGCCAAUAUUCGGUCAUCAUAUUAGAUGAAGCUCAUGAGAGGAGCUUGAACACGUAAAUCACUAUAAAGUUUCCUAAUGUGUCAUUGAUGUAAUACUUUUGGUAUUUAUCUGUCCGCAUGUUAUUCUGAGACUUUGUAAUUGGGAAUCUUUUUUCUGAGCUUGUUCUAAUAUUUCUAUUUGCUCUUGGUGAAAUAUCUUUUGUUUGAUGGGUGUAACUGUGUUUGGUCAGGGAUGUGUUGCUUGGAUUGAUGAAAAGAUUAAUUAAAUUGCGUGCAUCCAAUUUGAAAGUUUUGGUCACUUCAGCUACACUUGAUGGUGAAAAAGUAUCAAGAUUCUUCUCGAAUUGCCCAAUCCUCAACGUUCCAGGGAAAUUAUUCCCUGUUGAGAUACAUCAUAGCUCAGAACGACCAAAAAGUUAUAUUGAUGCUUCUUUGAAAAAAGCUCUUGGUACGAUAUCUUAAUAUUUGUUAUUUUUUUGUUAUUUAACUUUGCUACAUUUAUCUAUCAGUGAACAAUAUAGUUCCCUGUCAUUGCUUGCCAUAUUUUCUUCUUGUCUCAAUUCUCCACUUAUAUGGUUCAUGCUUCCUUUGCAGAUAUACACACACAAGAACCCGAAGGUGACAUCUUAAUUUUUAUGACGGGACAGGUUAGAACCAUAUUGUUUGGUUUUAAUGUUGUGUUGUAAUGCUUAUUCUAGUAAAGAUAGUUGUGAAUUUACCUUGUAGGAUGACAUAGAGAAGUUGGUCUCAAGACUGGAAGAGAGAAUCCAAAGAUUGGAGGAAGGGUCUUGUAUGGAUGCUGUAAUUUAUCCUCUUCAUGGAUCUCUGCCUCCUGAAUUGCAAGUUAGUUUUCACUUCUUAAUAUGCUGCUAUAAUGUCUAUUUCCCACAAUUUUUAAUAUGAAGGGACCUUGCGUUAUAUAGAACCACUUGGAUUCAAUCUCUGCAAGAAAUCUUUUGUUCAUUUUAUCAUCCUAGAGUUGCACAUCAGCUUAUUGACUCAUUUCCCCCUCAUUUUGAUUCAUGUUCUACAGUCUAUUUGUCUUUGUGAUUAUCUAGCUCUUUAAAAAAAUAAGAAGAAGUAAUAGCUUGUUGCUUUUUUUUCUAACUAUCGUCUUGUACUUGCAUUACUUGUGCAGGUCCGUGUAUUUAGUCCUCCACCUCCCAAUUGCCGGUCGUUCAUCGUUUCUACCAACAUAGCAGAGACAUCUUUGACUGUUGAUGGUGUUGUGUAAGAUACUUUAAUGCUAUUUUAGAUCUGCAUUACUUGACACAUCAUGAGGAAUCCAUUGCUACUUGAAUUGCUGAGAUUCAAAUAUAUGUCCAAGUUAUCAAUAUCUAAUCUAUUGAAUCAGAGGAUAGAGCGAAGUGUUAGUAUUCUUAAUAAUUGAGUAUGUGAUACUUUUGGUUAUUGGUAGUGGGAAAAACUUGGCAAAUGGUUCAUAUACUUAUAUAAUAAACCAAAACCAGUUUGUGUCUUGUUAUCAUAUUAAGAACUUUUUCUGAAUAUAAGUUUUUAAAAAAUUGACGUGAACUGCAGGUAUGUAAUUGAUCCUGGUUUUGUGAAGCAACGACAGUACAACCCAUCAACUGGCAUGUAUUCUCUUGAUAUUGUCCAAAUCAGCAAGUAUGGGUUCGGAUUCUUAUUUUAGAUGUUAUUCUAGCUUGAGCUGGUGUUCAUGGUCUAUUCCCCUGCUACUUGAUACAUGUAUAUGCUGUGUGCAUCUGUUUUUUUUUUUGGCUUCAUUGGACUCGAGAAAGACAUUGUGUCUUUGAACACAAAAUGAACUGGAGUCGUGGCUAUACAAUAAUAAUAUGCAUCAUUUUGUUUUCCAUUUUUUUCCCCUGUAGUAGGUAAAGUCUUUAAGAAUUUUACUCUUUUUUUGUCGUCACAAUCCAACCAGUUUAUAUGUGAUUUGAUUUGAUUAUGUGCUCUCUUCAUAUUGAGUUUUAAUGCUCAAAACUAGGAGGGGUUAUGUGAAAAAAUGUAAUGUACAAUGCAUUUUUGUUUAUGCACUCAUUCUCAGACCACAAACAUAUUUCAGAGUGCAGGCUAAUCNUGUGUGAGGGAAGAUUGCUGGCAGCUAUUUCACCUCUUUCGCCGGCAACGCGGCCGCCCGUCUGAAAAAGGAAUUUCGUCCAUUACCAGAAGACCAUCUCCCAGCACCAAUUCAUACAGGAAUUCAAGUUCAAUCAUAACAAUUGCUCUUCAAACACUCUUCUCUGCUAUCUCUCGGCUAAAGCAAGAAUACCUCAAUUGGCUAUUCAAGAUUACUUUUCUGGAGAGCAGAAGAACCAAUGACACCGGCGAUCACCCCUCGUGCCACCUCUCUGGUUUACCGGCGAUGGCGCUGCUCCACGCCGUCGAGAUCUGUGAUGCCGCUCCACACACGCCCACACUGAGAUCUUUGUGCGCAACGAGAGAGAGAGGGAGAUAGAGCAGAAGUAGAGGGGGGGGAAAUUCAUGGUGGCGGCGGCCUUGUAGCUGCCAUUCGCCGAAAAAUUCAGGAGCAAGGGUUGCCGCCGCCGCCGAAGGUUGCAGGGGACGUCGAACCCAAAUAAUUGAGAAGGGGACCAAGGGGGUUGCACUCACAGAGCUUUGGAUCGAAACUCACCUUCUUCUCCGGCGAUUUGGGUGUCGCCGCUGACGAUUUUGGGGUGCCGCCGAGAGAGGUAAGCGAUUUUGGAGUGCUGCCGCCUACAACAGAGAGAGAGAGAGAGAGAGAGAGAGAGUUGAGCGAGAGAAGUGAGCUAAAGAGAUAAAUGAGAAUUUAAUUAGAGAACCCUAAUUUUUAUUAAGUGAGCUUAAUUAAAUAUAAAUAUUUCUACUUUUAGAAAGUUGCCACUUUUAGUGGGACAAACUAAAAUGGAAAUGUGGCCACAUUUAUUGGGAUGGAGGGAGUAUUAUUUUAUGCGUCUCAUAAAAAUAUGCAUAGUAUGAGACGAUAUGAGUUUUAAGAAAUCAUAUACUAAAAUGUUUGUCUCAUAAAAACAUGCAUAGUAUGAGAUAAUACGAAUUUUAAAAAAUCAUGUAAAAUGUAGUAUGAGUGGAUUAUGAUGUUUAGAGAGAGAAUUAUUACUAUAAAUGGAGUAUGCAUAUUUUUAUGGAACGGACGAAAAAGAAAAAUUAUACAUGUAUUCUUUGAGGCGUUAAUUGACUGUAACUUUUGGUAUUUUUUUUACCUAUAUAAGUUGUAAAAUCUAUACUUUUGUUGAUUUGAAUUCGAAUUUUAGAUAGAACACAAUUUCAGUGUAAUUUAUUACCACGAAAGUACAUGCAUGUUUGAUCGCCCUAGAUAAAGCAAAAUAGAUAAAUAAUCAUGUUUUAUCUAAGCGUUUGAUAGCAAUAUUGAUUAACAAGAAGGUCCGCAUUAAAGGAGAGACCCGCUUUUAUAUCACUGUUCCACUGAAAAAUUUAAUAUCUCAUUUUCUUGAUAUUAUUUAUCUAGGUAUUAUUUAUCUAAGUUUUAUUUAUAACCUUUUAUUAUCUCAAUUUUAUAUCAAACACACGUGUAAUUCAACCAUAUUAUAUAGAGAUACAUAUUCCACAUAGAUACAUAUAGGUUCGUUAGAAAGAAAAUUAAAAUUAUCGUUUUAACUGAAAAAGGGCGCACAAGCUGCUGUUGUGUCCUAAAUAAGCUCAAAAAAGGUUUUGAGUUUGAGAUUGGUAAACGCGGCAAAAUUAUACAAAACCCUAGUUAAACCUGUUGAAUUUGAAAUGUCAAUUAUUUCAAUGGCAGAACUGCCAAUUCUUCAAUUUGAAGACAAAAUCGUCGAAACCGUGGAUAAGAAUCCGGUAGUAGUUGUAAUCGGUGAAACUGGCUCGGGAAAGAGUACCCAGCUCUCUCAAA